rnacentral:sRNA from 1 species
GAUACCAGUGUCAAAAGGUCAAAAAGCUGUUCGUGCUUGCACGAUAAGGCUUUUGAACUUGGGACACGCCAAAUAUAAGAAAGUAUCGAUUUACGCAGUAAAUCAGCGGAUUGCGAAUGUUUAUAGAAUUGCGGGAGCUGCUUUGCAGCGGAGCAAUUCGUAGGCAUC